GAUGAACGCUAGCGGCAGGCUUAAUACAUGCAAGUCGAGGGGUAGCAAGAUUGUAGCAAUACAAUUGUUGACGACCGUCAAACGGGUGCGGAACACGUACACAACCUUCCUACAAGUGGGGAAUAGCCCAGAGAAAUUUGGAUUAAUACCCCGUAACAUAGCGAUGUGGCAUCACAUUGCUAUUAUAGCUUCGGCGCUUGUUGAUGGGUGUGCGGCUGAUUAGAUAGUUGGCGGGGUAACGGCCCACCAAGCCUACGAUCAGUAGCUGAUGUGAGAGCGUGAUCAGCCACACGGGCACUGAGACACGGGCCCGACUCCUACGGGAGGCAGCAGUAAGGAAUAUUGGGCAAUGGACGCAAGUCUGAUCCAGCCAUGCCGCGUGAAGGAUUAAGGUCCUCUGGAUUGUAAACUUCUUUUAUAAGGGACGAAAAAAGGUCUUUCUAGAUCGUCUGACGGUACCUUAUGAAUAAGCACCGGCUAACUCCGUGCCAGCCGCCGCGGUAAGAC
rnacentral:rRNA from 1 species